rnacentral:lncRNA from 1 species
CAACAGCUCAAGACAACUACCCAAGAUAUGCUAAUCCAAGUUUUGCCUGUUUCUUCAUCAGAAAGCAAAGUCUGAAAGUGAACCUAGCACAGAUGCAGGUCUGAAGAAAUACCUUAAUCUUAGAUACAACGAUCUCUGUGAAAUAAAUUAUCAUGGCACAAUAAAUAAAGGAGGUAUUUGUCACCUGUAUGCCACUGAAGGUCAUAUCUCAGCCUCCCAGCAGCCUUCCAAACUUCAGUAAAUCAUACCAGAGUGAGAAAUACAAAAAGAGAUUGCUCUUUAGCAUCUCUCCUGGUGUCUCCCUCCUUCCAAGCAGACACAAAAGCCUACGGAUCCUGCAGAGGUGUACUUUCAGGCUGUACAAGCAUCAUCAAGCACUUCAAAUGCUGCUACACAGAGGGGAAACAAAAGAAAACCUCUCUCCACAAGCAUGAAUUGAAAAUGUAAGAUGGUAUCCAGGUGGCAAAACUUAGGCAUCUAGAGCUAAUUGGAAACGUUGCCUAACAUAGACACCAUGUGUCUGUAUCUUCAGUCAGGGAGCAGCACCACUCCUACAAUGGGAAACCAUUAUGCACCUAGCAGGGCACUACAUGCCUUAGUUCAGUCCGACGUCCAUUUAUGACAGAACAUGCUUUGCAAUAGCACUCUCUCCAACCUUCCAGCUCUGAUCCCACAGGAAACUUUGCAAAUCCACAAUUCUUCUGCACACUGAGAUUUACAGAUUCAAGAGAGACGGUGGUACUUCGCAAUUUUUGCCACAACUCACUCCCAACAAAUCUCAGAAUACCUCAGGGAAAACAAUUAUCCAUCUUUGCACUGUGAAGGUCUACAAGCUUUGCACAUAUACUGCAGCAAACAUCCUUACCUGUUCUGCAUAUUCCAAACCUUUUUUCUUCUAAGAUUUUCAAAGUGAUUUGCAUCAUGAAUUAGGAAUGAAUGUUCGUAAUUUUUCAGAAGCCUAUUUCUAUCACAAAAGUGAUGAAAGAUAUCCAAGCCAG